rnacentral:rRNA from 1 species
UACGUAGGGCGCAAGCGUUGUCCGGAAUUAUUGGGCGUAAAGAGCUCGUAGGCGGUCUGUUACGUCUGCUGUGAAAACCCAGGGCUUAACCCUGGGCUUGCAGUGGAUACGGGCAGACUAGAGGCAGGUAGGGGAGAAUGGAAUUCCCGGUGUAGCGGGGAAAUGCGCAGAUAUCGGGAGGAACACCGGUGGCGAAGGCGGUUCUCUGGGCCUGACCUGACGCUGAGGAGCGAAAGCGUGGGGAGCGAACAGG